GGAGAGAUGGCAGAGUGGUCGAAUGCGGCGGACUCGAAAUCCGUUGUGCCGCUUUGGCGGCACCGGGGGUUCGAAUCCCUCUCUCUCCGCCA
rnacentral:tRNA from 1 species